CCAUUUCCUUCUAAUAUGAAACUUUUUCUACACCCUAUUUUAUGCUCUUCUUGUUUAGGGAUUACAAGUGGAAAUUGUCUAGACUGUCAAAGUUACUGAACAACAGGACAUUGUUUAUUGUUGAAAACAACAUUGUUGAAAAUAGAAAAUACUAGUUUGAUAAUUAGCACACUCACUAGUAACUAAUGCCACCUUAAAACUAUGUAUGUUUGUCCUCUCUGGGUUACAUAUUCAAGAUACAUCCUUGGAAAUAUCCAGCAAAGAAUUUUAUCCACAAGUUUCC
rnacentral:lncRNA from 1 species